UAAGUUUAAUUUUUUCUCCAUGUUUGUUUUCAGUGUGCUCCAACGAUGUUUAUAGAAUUUCGUUCUAUGUGCAGUGGAUGGGGGAUGGGAGGCAUUCCUGGGUGGGCCUCUCUUAUUUGUUGCCCUUUGAGAGGGCACCAAACCCCCAACACACUCCGUAUGAUAUGUUGAAGAAUUACAUCCAAACUCACCGAAAAAACAAGGAACAAUUAAAAGCCUGCAAAAUCCAGAGGAGGCUGGCGGCAAAAAUAGAUGCUGCAGUGGAGGAGGCUCUGGAGAGGCAGGAUAUAUUUGAGUAAAGAACAUAAAAACAAUGUAAGGAGAAAAGGAAAAUAAGUGAUUUGUAAGGAGUACUAUGGAGAGGAGGGUACAGUGUAUGUAGGGUGAGUGACAAAGAUCAAUUCAUUUCAUUUUCAUUGUUUAUUAAGAAUAAAAAUUCAAUCCAUAUUCAAAAUUAAUUCACUUCGCUUACUAAACAGUCACUAUAUAUAUAGCCUAUUAUCACAAAUUUAUCCACUAUUCAUUCAUUCAUUUCUAUGAUGAUGAUAAUGAUGAUGAUUUUAGGCCUACAAUAAUAAAUUAUUAUCAAUUGAGUACCAUUAUCAAAUUUCAACUGAAUAUCAUAAUAUGUAGCUAUUAAUUCCAAUGAUAAAAUUGUUAUGCUAGUUCACCAAUUUCAAAUCUAUUAUUGUAAAAAAAGUUAUAUUACAAGAUUUGUGAUUACAUUUUCUUAAUUUCCAAAUUAAAUUUAGAAUUGAUUGAUUGAUCAUGCUUGAUGGACAGACAGGGAGACUGCAAACCUCACUCGAUCAUUAUUCAAAUAAUUAAUUUCCAGCUGAUAAUUUUUAUAAAUUCAUGAAUACAUUAUUAUUUUCUAUUUGUUCAUAAAAUAGAAUUACUUUCUAGCGAUUUCCAACCCUAUUUACAAAAAUAGAACAUAUCACUGAAAGGCCUAACAUGUCCUCGCCCAAUUUAAAUUGAUGGUGUAAUAACAGUAAUAAAUAAAUAAAUAAAUAGAAAGGAAUAAUUAUUAGACCCCAACAUUUUCAAUACAUAGGCAUUUCUGAGAAUAAGGCUUCUUUGAUUAUUAGUUCUCAUGAAAUUUAAUCGGGAUUAAAAGCUAUCAGACUUUGUGCAACCGGGCGAUAAUCCUCUAAAAAACAAACCCUCAAAUAAGCAAAUUAAAUUUCCAAUAAUAUAAUACUUAUCUAUCUUCAACAUACAUAGUCCCCUAUACUUCAUAAAGUAGAUAAUUGAUUAUAAUUAAGAAUAAUAAGUAUUUCAAUAUCAUUUCCUACCUCUAAUUCAAAUUUUUACAAAAUACUGAAAAUGCAUACUAACAGCAUAAUAAACACAUCUGUUUGUUGUUUGACAAUAAAUAAUACUUGACUGAAUAAAUAAAUACAUUCAAUUAAAAUCUAAAUUAAAAUUAAACUGAACAAAAAUUAAUAUCUGCCUAAAAGUUGAAGUAGAAUAUCGCUUACAAUAAUAAAAAUUAAACAUCUUCAUGUAUAUUUCUGUAAAUUAGUCCAGAUAUUUAGCAUUGGCCAAUCCCAUAAAUCAAAAGAAUAAUAAUAGCACUCUACCUUCAGAUAAUUGCAGUUUCAAGUCUGCAAACUCCAAGACAGAUAAUUGCAAUGUUUCAAGUAGAAAAUUGAGGCUCUGGUUCAAUCUUGACUUCCACCUUGACCACUGACGGACUUUGGCCAUGACUCGACCUUGACUUGACCUCAAUACCCCCUCAAUAUCAUUUUACCAUCUUAUCCUAAAACUGUUUAAAUUAUUCGACUAUUUGGGGAAAUUUUGUUUUUUCACAGUAAAUGAGUUUCAUAGCUUCAUAUUUGACAAGAUUGUUCAAGAGCCCACAAUUUCUAUUUACUUUCUAGUUCAACUGAAACUUGUCAUUUUGAAUAGUUUAAUCAAUACCAAGUCCUCCAAAAAGAAAAACAGAUCUGUAGGGUUCAAUUAUUAAGAAUAUUUUCAGUCUUUUACAGUAAACAGUAAUUAUAUAACCAACCAUGCAUGAUUCAGGAACCAAAACUUCUUUCAUCCAAGAAUAGUUGAAUUACUAUUGAGCAUUUCCUGGACAGGUUUCCUUAUUUCAGCCUAGUUGACUGAUAAGUCUGAUAGGCCAAAAUAUAUUUUUCAAAAAAUCAGUUGAUCUUUUGAUGGCCAAAGCAGAGGAUAUUUCAUAAAUUUGAGGGAGGUUCGGAUGAAUUUCUGGCACAGUCAUUGUACCAGACAAAUACAUUGCUUCUAAACAGAUGGAACUGGAUUUUUUAUGGUAGAGUAACUUUUGUAUGUUGGGUGGAACAAAUCGGUUCAUUCUUGACUUGCUUUUGUUGUUCUCUGAGAGGAAUUUCUACAGUUUGGACGUUCAGAUAUUGCUGCAUUAUCAUGAAUAUGGAGGAUUGAAUGCUCCAAGGUUUUUGGAUGAUAGGGUUUUGGGGAAUUUUUUUUGUCGACCAGUUGUGGUAGAGGUAUCAUUGUGAUGAGAAACUGUUGAAUGUGAUGUAAGUAUCGGUUCCACACACUUUGUGAGUCUGAGGCCUGAAGGCGGCCUUGAGGCGCCCGAGGCCGCCUUGAGGCAGAGGCCACCUGUGUGGGCCAGUCAAGAAAUUUGCAUUUCAUAGUAAGUAUUUGUCCAAUCCCCACUGCAAGCUCAAAGACCCCCUGAAUACCCCAAAUUUAGUACAUCCACUCUUCAAAUCAAAUCUUCAUUUUUCCAAAAAACAUAAUUACAAUGACAAUGGUUGUAAGAAAGUAAUAUAUAAUAUAAAAUGAAAUACCAACAGAUAGGUUAAGAUAUUAAUAUAAUACAUACCAAUAUAAUGUAUAUAACAUAACAAUAUAAACAUUAUUACAAGUGACAAUGGUU